UACGAAGGGGGCUAGCGUUGCUCGGAAUCACUGGGCGUAAAGCGCACGUAGGCGGACCCUUAAGUCGGUGGUGAAAUCCUGGAGCUCAACUCCAGAACUGCCUUCGAUACUGAGAGUCUCGAGUCCGGGAGAGGUGAGUGGAACUGCGAGUGUAGAGGUGAAAUUCGUAGAUAUUCGCAAGAACACCAGUGGCGAAGGCGGCUCACUGGCCCGGUACUGACGCUGAGGUGCGAAAGCGUGGGGAGCGAACAGG
rnacentral:rRNA from 1 species